rnacentral:rRNA from 1 species
AGUAAAGUGGCGACCGGGUGAGUAACACGUGACUAACCUACCUUCGAGUGGGGGAUAACAUCGGGAAACCGAUGCUAAUACCGCAUAACAUCGCAAGAUCAAAGCAGCAAUGCGCUGGAAGAGGGGGUCGCGGCUGAUUAGCCAGUUGGCGGGGUAACGGCCCACCAAGGCGAAGAUCGGUAGCCGGCCUGAGAGGGCGCACGGCCACACUGGAACUGAAACACGGUCCAG